GACGAACGCUGGCGGCGUGCCUAAUACAUGCAAGUAGAACGCUGAAGGAAGGAGCUUGCUCUUUCUGGAUGAGUUGCGAACGGGUGAGUAACGCGUAGGUAACCUGCCUGGUAGCGGGGGAUAACUAUUGGAAACGAUAGCUAAUACCGCAUAAAAUUGAUUAUUGCAUGAUAGUCAAUUAAAAGGUGCAACUGCACCACUACCAGAUGGACCUGCGUUGUAUUAGCUAGUUGGUGGGGUAACGGCUCACCAAGGCGACGGUACAUAGCCGACCUGAGAGGGUGAUCGGCCACACUGGGACUGAGACACGGCCCAGACUGCUACGGGAGGCAGCAGGAGGGAAUCUUCGGCAAUAGACGGAAGUCUGACCGAGCAACGCCGCGUGAGUGAAGAAGGUUGUCGGAUCGUAAAGCUCUGUUGUAAGAGAAGAACGAGUGUGAGAGUGGAAAGUUCACACUGUGACGGUAUCUUACCAGAAAGGGACGGCUAACUACGUG
rnacentral:rRNA from 1 species